rnacentral:rRNA from 1 species
AUCAGGAGGANCACCGAUGGCGAAGGCAGGUCUCUGGGCCGAUAUUGACGCUGAGGAGCGAAAGCGUGGGGAGCGAACAGGAUUAGAUACCCUGGUAGUCCACGCCGUAAACGGUGGGCGCUAGGUGUGGGGCACUUUCCACGUGCUCUGUGCCGCAGCUAACGCAUUAAGCGCCCCGCCUGGGGAGUACGGCCGCAAGGCUAAAACUCAAAGGAAUUGACGGGGGCCCGCACAAGCGGCGGAGCAUGCGGCUUAAUUCGAAGCAACGCGAAGAACCUUACCAAGGCUUGACAUAUAGGGAAAUCUCAUAGAGAUAUGAGGUCCGCAAGGGUCCUAUACAGGUGGUGCAUGGUUGUCGUCAGCUCGUGUCGUGAGAUGUUGGGUUAAGUCCCGCAACGAGCGCAACCCUCGUUCUAUGUUGCCAGCACGUAAUGGUGGGGACUCAUAGGAGACUGCCGGGGUCAACUCGGAGGAAGGUGGGGAUGACGUCAAAUCAUCAUGCCCCUUAUGUCUUGGGCUGCACGCAUGCUACAAUGGCCGGUACAAAGGGCUGCGAUACCGCAAGGUGGAGCGAAUCCCAUAAAGCCGGUCUCAGUUCGGAUUGGGGUCUGCAACUCGACCCCAUGAAGUCGGAGUCGCUAGUAAUCGCAGAUCAGCAACGCUGCGGUGAAUACGUUCCCGGGCCUUGUACACACCGCCCGUCACGUCACGAAAGUCGGUAACACCCGAAGCCGGUGGCCCAACCCUUGUGGAGGGAGCCGUCGAAGGUGGGAUCGGCGAUUGGGACGAAGUCGUAACAAGGUAGCC